UUUCCCUGAUGCUGGCCGCUUGCCAAGAAGACACCAGGACAGACCCUCCAAGGUAAAGAGAAUGGGCAGUGACAUCAGAGCCAGUAUGCAGAUGAAAAUGCAUUGCGCCCUGAAUUUUAACAGUUUUACAGUUUUUACAAGAAAAACCCCUAAAACCACGAGCCAACAAGUGACUUAAGUGACGUCUAAGGAUGGGAGCAUAGUCCCGUACCUGCUUGGACCCUUUUGCUUCUCACCCUAACCUGAAAAGAUACUGAUUAAAGAGACACCCCGGAGUGUUAAACAAACAAGCAGGAAUCUACGACUCUCCCGUGAGGACAGAAUCCCCAGCUCUGCCUGCAGACCAGCGGACACAGC